CCUACGGGUGGCAGCAGUGGGGAAUAUUGGGCAAUGGGCGCAAGCCUGACCCAGCAACGCCGCGUGAAGGAAGAAGGCUCUCGGGUUGUUAACUUCUUUUUAGGGGGAAGAGGAGAAGACGAUACCCCUUGAAUAAUCCACGGCAAACUACGUGCCAGCAGCCGAGGUCAUACGUAGGGUGCAAGCGUUGUCCGGAUUUAGUGGGUGUAAAGGGCGUGCAGCCGGGAGGACAAGUCAGAUGUGAAAUCCCGCGGCUCAACCGUGGAACUGCAUUUGAACGUGUGUGUCUUGAGUACCGGAGAGGUAAGCGGAAUUCGUGGUGUAGCGGUGAAAUGCUUAGAUAUAAGGAAGAACACCAGUGGCGAAGGCAGAUUACUGGACGGCAACUGACGGUGAGGCGCGAAAGCGUGGGGAGCAAACAGGAUUAGAUACCCGAGUAGUC
rnacentral:rRNA from 1 species